UACGUAGGGUGCAAGCGUUGUCCGGAAUGAUUGGGCGUAAAGCGUCCGCAGGUGGCUGUGUAAGUCUGCUGUCAAAGAGCAAAGCUCAACUUUGUAAAGGCAGUGGAAACUACACGGCUAGAGUGCGUUCGGGGCAGAGGGAAUUCCUGGUGUAGCGGUGAAAUGCGUAGAGAUCAGGAAGAACACCGGUGGCGAAGGCGCUCUGCUAGGCCGCAACUGACACUGAGGGACGAAAAGCUAGGGGGAGCGAACGGGG
rnacentral:rRNA from 1 species